rnacentral:rRNA from 1 species
AACGUAGGAGACAAACGUUAUCCGGAGUUACUGGGCGUAAAGGGCGCGUAGGUGGCCUUCUAAGUUGAACGUGAAAUCCCUGGGCUCAACCCAGGAACUGCGUCCAAGACUGGGAGGCUUGAAUCCGGGAGAGGGAUGCGGAAUUCCAGGUGUAGCGGUGAAAUGCGUAGAUAUCUGGAGGAACACCGGUGGCGAAGGCGGCAUCCUGGACCGGUAUUGACACUGAGGCGCGAAAGCCAGGGGAGCAAACGGG